rnacentral:rRNA from 1 species
AGGAUCAUUAUCAAAAAAAAUUCUUUUUUUUUUGAAAUAUUUUUCCAUUUUCCCUUGUGUAUCUAUUCCAUGUUGCUUCCCCUAGACAGGUAAUUAUAUAUAGUUAGAAUGUUUUCUCCAUUUGAAACCAUUGCUACCGUAUAUAUUUACCCUUCAUACCUCAAGUGUUUUUGUUUUAAACACUUAUGGGGCGUGGAGAAAUGUCAGUGGAUGGCCGUAAUUUUAAAGAGCAGUUUUUUAUAUAUAGUCUGAUAAGAGUUAUAAUAAAUAAAAAAAAACUUUCAACAACGGAUCUCUAGGCUCUUGCAUCGAUGAAGAACGCAGUGAAAUGUGAUAAGUAAUGUGAAUUGCANAAUCUCGUGAAUCAUCGAAUCUUUGAACGCACAUUGCGCCCAAUGGUAUUCCAUUGGGCAUACCUGUUUGAGUAUCAGAAUCCUUUCAAUUAUCAAACUUUUACAUAUAGAGAUAUAUGUAAAGAUGUUUGGAAUACAAUUGAGAAAAGUAAUAUUCUUUAUAGUAUUGCUUUCUUAAAAACCAGAAAUACUAUGUUUUGAUUUUUCUUCACCUCAUUUUGUAUAUCAAUUAACAAAUGAGUACGAGUAAAAAUAUACAAUACUUUGGAUGACCUCAAAUCAGGUAGGGAUACCCGCUGAACUUAAGCAUAUCAAUAAGCGGAGGAAAAGAAACCAACAGGGAUUGCCUUAGUAACGGCGAGUGAAGCGGCAAAAGCUCAGAUUUGAAAUCUGGUGUCAAAUUGAUACCCGAGUUGUAAUCUGUAGAGGAGUUUUUCGGAGUAUGGCUUUGGUUAAAGUUCCUUGGAAAAGGGCAUCAUAGAGGGUGAGAAUCCUGUUUAUGACCUGUGUCUGUCUCCAUUAUGAAUCUCCUUCAAUGAGUCGAGUUGUUUGGGAAUGCAGCUCUAAAUGGGUGGUAAAUUCCAUCUAAAGCUAAAUAUUGGCAAGAGACCGAUAGCGCACAAGUAGAGUGAUCGAAAGAUGAAAAGAACUCUGAACAGAGAGUUAAAGAGUACGUGAAAUUGUUGAAAGGGAAGCACUUGUGACCAGACAAAUUUACAGUUAAUCAGCCAUCAAUAUUUGGUGGUGCACUUAAUUGUAGGUGGGUCAGCAUCAGUUAUAGUANUNGAACAAAGAUCAAAGGAAUGUAGCUCCUCUUUGAGGNNNNUUAUAGCCUUUGGUUCAAUACCGCUGGCCAUGACUGAGGAUAGCACUCCAGUAAGGA